rnacentral:rRNA from 1 species
AUUGAACGCUGGCGGCAGGCCCAACACAUGCAAGUCGAGCGGAUGAAGGGAGCUUGCUCCUGGAUUCAGCGGCGGACGGGUGAGUAAUGCCUAGGGAUCUGCCUGGUAGUGGGGGAUAACGUCCGGAAACGGGCGCUAAUACCGCAUACGUCCUGAGGGAGAAAGUGGGGGAUCUUCGGACCUCACGCUAUCAGAUGAGCCUAGGUCGGAUUAGCUAGUUGGUGGGGUAAAGGCCUACCAAGGCGACGAUCCGUAACUGGUCUGAGAGGAUGAUCAGUCACACUGGAACUGAGACACGGUCCAGACUCCUACGGGAGGCAGCAGUGGGGAAUAUUGGACAAUGGGCGAAAGCCUGAUCCAGCCAUGCCGCGUGUGUGAAGAAGGUCUUCGGAUUGUAAAGCACUUUAAGUUGGGAGGAAGGGCAGUAAGUUAAUACCUUGCUGUUUUGACGUUACCAACAGAAUAAGCACCGGCUAACUUCGUG